rnacentral:rRNA from 1 species
UGGGGAAUAUUGGACAAUGGGCGAAAGCCUGAUCCAGCAAUGCCGCGUGAGUGAAGAAGGCCUUCGGGUUGUAAAGCUCUUUUACCCGGGAAGAUAAUGACUGUACCGGGAGAAUAAGCCCCGGCUAACUCCGUGCCAGCAGCCGCGGUAAUACGGAGGGGGCUAGCGUUGUUCGGAAUUACUGGGCGUAAAGCGCACGUAGGCGGUCUUUUAAGUCAGAGGUGAAAGCCCGGGGCUCAACUCCGGAAUUGCCUUUGAAACUGGAAGACUUGAACACGGGAGAGGUGAGUGGAAUUCCGAGUGUAGAGGUGAAAUUCGUAGAUAUUCGGAGGAACACCAGUGGCGAAGGCGGCUCACUGGACCGUAGUUGACGCUGAGGUGCGAAAGCGUGGGGAGCAAACA